GCGACCUCGGAUCAGAUAGGUAUACCCGCUGAACUUAAGCAUAUCAAUAAGCGGAGGA
rnacentral:rRNA from 1 species